AUUAGAUACCCUAUUAUUUUUAGUGUGAAAUUAUUAACCAGAGUAUUAAUAGAUAAAUCUUUUUAAACUUAAAGAAUUUGGCGGUAUUAUAAUCUAUUUAGAGGAAUCUGUUAUCUAAUUGAUAAUCCACGUUGAACCUUACUUAUAUUAUUUCUUGUAUAUCGCUGUUUAAAAGUAAAUAUUUGUAGAUAAUUUUCUUAAUAUAUAAUUAAUUAAAAUUUCAAGUCAAGGUGCAGUAAUAUAUAAGUUGAAUAAUGGAUUACAAUAAUUUAUAUUUAUUAUGAAUAAUUAUUUAUUAAAUAGUGAUUUGAAGGUGGAUUUAAUUGUAAUUUUGUAAAGAUUAAUAAAAUGAUUGUGGUCUAUAAUAUGUACACAUCGCCCG
rnacentral:rRNA from 1 species